rnacentral:tRNA from 1 species
UCCCUGGUGGUUCAGUGGGUUAAGGACCUGGCAUUGUCACUGCUAUGGUUCUGGUUACAGCUGUGGCACAGGUUAGAUCCCUGGCCUGGGAA